UUUGAAACACCAAUUAUCGUCCGACCACCGAACUUAAGCCACAUCGAACCCGGUUAGUAUCGAGAUGGGUGACCGCUUGGGAAUACCAGGUGCUGUAAG